rnacentral:rRNA from 1 species
UACGUAGGUGGCAAGCGUUGUCCGGAUUUACUGGGCGUAAAGGGCGCGUAGGCGGCCACCGCAAGUCGACUGUGAAAUCUCCGGGCUUAACCCGGAAAGGUCAGCCGAUACUGCGGGGCUAGAGUGCAGAAGGGGCAACUGGAAUUCUCGGUGUAGCGGUGAAAUGCGUAGAUAUCGAGAGGAACACCUGCGGCGAAGGCGGGUUGCUGGGCUGACACUGACGCUGAUGCGCGAAAGCCAGGGGAGCGAACGGG